rnacentral:rRNA from 1 species
UACAGGGGGGCGAAGCGUUGUUCGGAAUUACUGGGCGUAAAGGGUUCGUAGGUGGCCAACUAAGUCAGACGUGAAAUCCCUCAGCUUAACUGGGGAACUGCGUCUGAUACUGGUUGGCUUGAGUGCAGGAGAGGAAUGCGGAAUUCCAGGUGUAGCGGUGAAAUGCGUAGAUAUCCGGAGGAACACCGGUGGCGAAGGCGGCAUUCUGGACUGUAACUGACACUGAGGAACGAAAGCCAGGGGA